AGGACGAACGCUGGCGGCGUGCCUAACACAUGCAAGUCGAACGCGCUCCAUUCGGUAGCAAUACUGAUGAAGAGCGAGUGGCGAACGGGUGAGUAGCACGUGAGCAACCUGCCCCGAAGACUGGGACAACACCGGGAAACCGGUGCUAAUACCGGAUAUCCCUAUCGGACCGCAUGAUCUGAUAAGGAAAUGGAUUCCGCUUCGGGAGGGGCUCGCGGCCUAUCAGCUAGUUGGUGGGGUAACGGCCCACCAAGGCAUCGACGGGUAGCUGGUCUGAGAGGACGAUCAGCCACACUGGGACUGAGACACGGCCCAGACUCCUACGGGAGGCAGCAGUGGGGAAUCUUGCGCAAUGGGCGAAAGCCUGACGCAGCAACGCCGCGUGGAGGACGAAGGCUUUCUGAGUUGUAAACUCCUUUCAGCAGGGACGAUAGUGACGGUACCUGCAGAAGAGCACCGGCCAACUACGUGCCAGCAGCCGCGGUAA
rnacentral:rRNA from 1 species